AUACUUACCCACACGUGGUCAAUGAGCGAUCAAUAAGACCAAUGGCUAGAGCUGGUGAUUUCCAUUGCAUUUCGAAGAGAUGCCAGCCUAAGGUCGACCACAGUGGUCAAGCCUACGUUAUAGUUUGUGGUAGUGGAGGCAUGCGUUCGCGCAACCCCUAU
rfam:Nicotiana attenuata strain TT chromosome 5, whole genome shotgun sequence.